UGACCCCUGAGGCAAAGGAGUGAAAUGUUAGCACCGACUGAAUUUCAGGCUAGUUAAUUUUGGGGUUUCAUUCAUUCUGAAUAUUCAUGUCCACUUCCCAACAUACAAAUAGCAGAUAAAAUGGAAGUCCUCAUGUCCAACAUUCACUCACUGCUCAUAUUGACCGAGUUUAAUCACGGACUAUAAAUUCUAUAAAUAGUUUUUUUUCUUUCUUCUAUAACAUGAAAGAGUGAGUGAGCAGCAUGAAUCUGACCAACAGGGUAACUUCACUUUUUUCAGUUCAUAAUAUAAUAAUAACCGUCCACAGGAAUGUACUCACAAUGUGUUGGGUCAGCUCAUAAUAUUGCACUUCUUAUUUUACACAAUACAAAUCCCUAUGCUGUGCGCAUACGCUACAAUACUUCUAAAAUCGUAACUUGGAAUUCCUCACAUUUCCUGAUUUUAAUUGUUUUAUUCCCUUUUCACAAAUCUUUAAUUCCGUCCAUGUUCAACCACAGGAUGUGUGUGCUCACGUUAUACUGUUGUUCCCUUGUGUUUUCUCCAUUGUCAUAGGGGGAAAAGUGUCGUAACAAAAACAGCUGAUUUAUUGGAGUGCAGAACCCGAUGGGAGGCACAGAAUAAGGACGUAAUAUUGGAGUUCAUUAUGCAUGGCCCCGGUGCGUGGAGAUUUCACGUUAAGGACCAAUGGAAUAAAAAAAUGAUGAAACGCUGUUCAUCGGGCCACUUAACACCAACUCACUCAUUUAUAAAAAAAAAAAGGCAGUUGUGUUUUCUCCACAGCUCCACCAAUCAGGCUCCCAUCACCUCGGUCCACACCGGGCGUGUUGUUGCGUCCCUCUUCACCGUCUCUUUAGGUCUCACAUGCGGCGUUCUCAUUGGCAUCAGACUCCUUGCCCAAUCGCGUCCUAGAGCACUGCUCAUACUACAAGAUACACGACCAACAUUUUAAGAAAAUGUAUCGGGACAGCCAACAGCCGUUGUGUCCUUGACCUCUCAAAACAACCUAGCCCAAGUUCAUCCCAUUUUGUAGCAUUCUUUCUGCUCAGGCUAGGUUAGUUAUUUGAUUUACAUUUUUUAGAUUAAGUAAAUAAAAGAUGUGAAUAGCCAUUCUCAUCUGUCCAGACAAUAUGUUGUACUCAAGAGUAGAUUCAUUUCAGAAAUUAUUUGACAUUACUGGGCCAUUUAAAAUCAACCAUAGUAUGACAUACAAUGAAAUGACAAAGACAUGGUUGAAGACAGUGAUUUAUUUAAUAUAGAUGUGCAAUGUUACAUUAUAUUGAAAUGUAAAACACGUUUUUUCUUUGCAAUAUUCUGGAUGUGACGUUUCUUUCCCGAUAAAAAAAAAAAGGUCACAGAGCUCACUGUUAUUGCUGCAAUACUGUUUUGUGUUUUGAUGUUGAAAAAGCACUUUAAAUUCAGAAUGCUUAAGUGUUAUCUGCUUUUAGAGCUCAAAUAAGGAAUCAAAUGUUCCUAAUCCAGAACUAAUGUCUUGCAUAAUUGGUCAGCUGAUUGAAGUUCUGGUCGAUGCGUUGUUUAAAAUGAGGAGCUGAACCGGAACGAGCAGCUCCACCCCCUCUCUUUGCAAGCUACUGCAGCUCGUUUUCCCCCCAUUCCUUCCCGACAAAAUUCUACAGUUGUUUACGUAGAUCCCAAGAGAUUAAGCUAUACAAGUGUUGUGUCAAUCACUGUUAACACUGCAAGUCCCUUUAAAAAAAUAAAACAAAAUCAAUAAACUGCUUUAAAAAAAAGGCACAAUCUGUCUUUUUAAAAUUUUAAAUGUAACAUACUGAUCUUGCAUCCAUAGCGCCGUCGAGAGAACUGAUCCAGGAUCAGCACUCGUCCUCUCUUAGAAUCCAGGCUCCGAGUUCUACACCAAACCAGUUUAGGAAAAAAAAAAUGUGCUUCCUUGAAAGGGUUUAACAGGUAACAGGUGAGAACCUUGUGGUGAAAAUAUAUCUUCAUGAAUUCAGAUUCUCAAGAGAAGAAACAAACAAAACCAGGAGAUGUAAUAUUUUUGUAAAGGGGAAAAAUAAAAAGGAUUUAUUCACCUCCAUACAGAAUCACAAUGUAACUAAUCAUUAUCGGCACUAUGCUUUUAUACAGCACUGUGUGUGUGUGUGUGUCAAAUGUUAGUAUAUAUUAUCUUAACUCUGUUUUUCAACGUCAACUUUUCAAUCUUACCCCACUUCAAAAAGCUAGAGAUUUAUUAGAAAACAAAUUCUGCAUAAGCAAUCAAAAAUAGUCCAAAAAAAAUAACUAAAAAGACAUGAGACCCCAAACUUUUGCAUAAUACCUGGUAUUUAGGUUAUCGGACUUGCACUUUAGGUGGUGUUCAUUGCAAUACUACCGUGUUGCCAACAGUAUAUAGGCUUAUAUAUUAUCACAACAUAACUAAAACCACACCAACUUAAACCUCAUUUGAACUGCAGCCAUUUCACACCUUAAGUCUCAUACGCCUCGACCACGUCUUUACUUUGGACAGCGCCACUUUUGGGUCAGACUGGGUUGUGUUGAACACCACAUGCUGUACUCUCUUAAAAAGGCGGCGCUACCUAGAACCAUAAAAGGGUUCUUCAAAUUGUUCCCCCAUAAGGAGAACCCUCUGAAAAAUAACACUUUCCUUUCACUAAUGCAAUGUUCUACGUGGUAGUACCUUUCGCGCCACCAAAAGGGUUCUACCUAGAAGCAUAAAAAAGGGGUUUCUCGUAUGGGGCCAAACCAAGAACUCUUGAUUUCUAUCAUCCAUGUGCAUCUGUUCAUGUGUUUUAAUAAGCGUGUGGACAGUUAAACUUCUGUACAGGAACCAAUAGAGAGAGAAGCCGUUUGGCCAAUGGGGAGGACUUUAGAAGUGACACCACAAUUCUACAGUACAUAACUAGUUCCACAAAUCCACAGAAGAGAGCAGUUAUUUCAACAUGAGAAAGAAACCAGGAAAUAAAUACGUAAAAACCCAAAAUAAGGAAGUGUUUCAGACCGUGCUUUGGUAAACGUUUCUGGAAGUAUCUCUCUCUGCUAAUCAGAAGAGAUGAAGGUUUGGAAUCAAAUCAAUCAAGACACAAGAUGGAUUUUUUCUCUCCAAUGCAACAACAACAAAAAUCACCCUUUCUUUUGAAUCAUUCAAACGAGUGAGAGUUUGUUUUCUGAUUAUUUUUCAACCAGUAAACAUUGUUUAUCAAAUCACGACUUUCAUGUUCCGCAAAGUGGUAAUGUUUUUCCACAGUGCAGGUGUUCCUGUAUUGGUGUUUGAUUGAAUACCCGCCUAACACAGAAGCCCCAUCCAUAUGCCUUUAUAGAUUCAAAAAUCAACCACAUUUCUGAAAGAUACAGCUACUCUUCUGAAUAUAAUAUACUUUAUAUACACUCAGUUUCCAGUUUAUUAGGUACACCCAUCUAGUACCAGGUUGGACUCCCCUUUGCUUUCAGAACAGCCUGAAUUAUUCAGGACAUGGAAACCUUGCUCAAAUUGGUAUCAAGGGACCUAACGUGUGCCAGAAAAACAUUCCCGACAUCACCACCACCAGCCUGUACCGUUGACACCAGGCAGGAUGGGGCCACGGACUCAUGCUGCUUACGCUAAAUCCUGACCCUGCCAUCAGCAUGAUGCAACAGGAACUGGGAUUUGUCAGACCAGGCGAUGUUUUUCCACUCUUCAACUGUCCACUGGAGCCGCUUCUUCUUCUUGUUUUUAGCUGAUAGGAGUGGAACCCGGUCCGAAGACAUUCCGGAACCCGGUCCGAAGACAUUCCGGAACCCGGUCCGAAGACAUUCCGGAACCCGGUCCGAAGACAUUCCGGAACCCGGUCCGAAAACAUUCCGGAACACGGUCCGAAAACAUUCCGGAACACGGUCCGAAGAGUUGUGCGUUCCAAGAUGCCGUUCAGCACACCACUGUUAUACUGUGCCUGUUUGUUGCCCGCCUGUUCGCACGAUUCUUGCCAUUCUCCUUCGACUUUCUCUUCAACAAGCUGUUUUCGUCCGCAGGACUCCCGCUGACUGUCGUGAGUGGAAAAAGCCAGGAGGCCGGCCGUUUCUGAGAUACUGGAACCAACGAUCACACCACGCCCAGUCACUUGGGUCACUAGUUUUCCACCAUUCUAACGGUCAAUGGAACAGUAACUGAAUGUCUCGAUGCCUGUCUGAUUUCUUUAUAUAGCAAACCACAUCCACUUGACUCGCUGUAGGAGCAAAGCAUUUAUGUGAACGGGGUGGUGUACCUAAUAAACUGGCCACUGAGUGUAUGUGUGUACACGCACUGUAAUUCGCCUCACACCGCAAUCAUAACAUGAAAUGUUACCAAAAUAUCUUGAAUUCUCUCAAUACCAACCCCUUUAAGAGCAAUACAACAAAUAAGUAGACUUCUAAAAUGUUAUUUUCAAUUUUUUUUUACAAAAGAUCGAGUUUGGUAAGAAAAAUAAUAGGAAUAGGAAUAGGAAUAACAGUUGAAUGGUUCAGGUCAGCUGAAGAGAGAUGGACAAUCAACUAUAGUGCAACUAAAAUAAUUGGUUAAAAAGGCUAGACAGAAAAAGGUACUUAAAAAAUGAUUUCUUUCACAAUCUCAAGUUUAAGUUACCCCAGACAUUCUCACAUCAGCAGCCACCAGUUCACCUUAUAUGUUAAUA
ensembl:lncRNA